CGGAGCCGGCUGGCAGCUACGGGGAACCUGAGGAAACACCGUCCUCCGCACGGUACGGAGGCUCCGUAAGGAGCGCGGGGAGACCCGCGGCAACGGCACAGAAACGAAACGGCCGCUCCCGUAUGUCUAUGAUGCGGUGAAGACCCCCCGGUAACGGGGGGUCAGUAACCCGCUGAGUAUGGGGGCGGAUGCGUUGAAACGGCCGUCCCUCCGGGAGCAAGGCCGAGCAGCGCCGAUGAGUUACCGUGUGAGGCGCGGGUAGGCCGCCUAGUCGGAUGCUGCCGUAGUACAGAAGGCGGGUUAUAGCCGGCACCG
rnacentral:RNase_P_RNA from 1 species